rnacentral:misc_RNA from 1 species
UUCAACUGAGAACUCGAGACGUCGAUGGCGAACAAUUGAUAAUGAAUUGCAGUGUUUCCAUGAUUUUCUGCUCCGUGGGUUUGUCGCAAGCUUUUUGCGAUGGGAAUGUCUUGUGUAGAAUUUAAGUAUUUUCAUCUGAGUGCUCAUUAAGCACUGCUUCAGUCUUUGGACGAACGGGAGCGGUCGACAGCCGACUGCCACCAUGGGCAAUCAGCUGUCGAGCUUCUUUCAGUCGGGCAGCGCGCUGCUCAACUCAAACCACCGCCAACUGAGCGAGCAGACCACCAAGAAUGUCCGCUUCUUGUUCGACACGCUGCGGGCUAACCCGCGCAACAUGGUGCAUCGGCUCCAGCCGGUCCUCUCGCAGAUCAACAAGGGAGAGAACAUUCUUCAGGUGCACAACGAGGAGGGCUACAACCUGCUGCAGAAGUGUGUCGGCAUGAACAACCUGGAUAUGGUGCGCUGGAUCCUGAGCCGAAACCUGGACGUCAACCGCGGAGUGUGCUCGCUACCACUUCACAUCGCCUGCCUCAAAGGGUACGAGGACUGUGUGGAGAUGCUUCUGAAGCACGGCGCGCGCAUCGACGUGGAGGCGCGCAUGUGCUGGCCGGGCCCGCACAACCAGAACUGCGAGCAGCGCGGCAACUACUGCAGUCCGUUUGAGCCGGGCGGCGCCGACCAGCGCAGCAGCGACCGGCUCCAGUCGGCCGUCUACUACGCCAUUGACGGCGAUCAGGUGGAGAUUCUCGAGCUGCUGACCCAGCAGGGCGAGGACCACUGGUUGCCCUGGCACCAGAAGCGGCCUCUGCUACACAUUGCCUGCGAACGGGGCGCCUGGAACUGCGUGCAGUACCUGGUAUCAGAGAGGUCGGACGAGAUAAAUCAGUGCUACGACGAGUACUACCCCAUCCACCAGGCGGCGUUACAUCACGUCCAGUUUCUGGAGAGGCUGAUUGCGUGCGGUGCAGACACGCUAGUACGGACCUCCACACAGCAGAUGACGCUACUGCACGUGGUGUUUCUGUUGGGGAAGAAGACUGUGAGUGACACGCUUUGUACGGCCAAACUGCUGCUCGACCACGGCCUGCGGGAGUUGAUAAACGAGCCGGACUCGCUGGGGAACACGCCUCUGCACGCACUCAUCGCUAGGUACGCGCUGGAGGAGGCGCGCUACGGGUACGACCACGAGCCGCCACCGUGGACUAAGUGGGAUACGCUUCACCUAGUGCGCUACCUCCUCCAGAACGGCGCCGCGCCGAGCAUCAACCAGCAGGGCAACAGCGCGCUGGCCUGUGUGCUGCGGCACGUCAGGGACUGGGAGUUCAGGUACGAGCUGUUGGACAUGCUGCUGCAGAACAGCGGCAACCCCAACAUCGUGGGCCGUGACGGCUCUGUGCCGCUGAUGGUCUGCCUGGUGCCGCUCAUCAACAAGGACCCGCUGCACCACUUCAACCACACCAUGAAGGUGUUCUACCUCAACUGCGUGCGCAUCCUCUGCAAGCACGGCGCCAACCCCAACUGCUCGUCGCGCAGCAACCUGACGCCGCUGCACGUGCUCAUGUUCACUGCCUCGGAGAACAUCGCGCUCAGCCGAGAGGCAGAGAAGGCGCAGGCGUUCGACUUCAUUCGGCAGCUGCUGGUGAUUCUGCUCCAGCACGGACUCGAUCCGAACGUGCGCUUCAGUCAGCGGUCGCACCACAUCCUACUGUCGGUCAUCGACAUGGUGUCGUCGGCACGCAGCGCCGCCGACCUGGGGCACGUGCGUGACCUGACGCUGACACUGCUCCAGUACGGCGCCGACCCGAACGUCGCCAUUAGCACGAGCAACGAGCCGAAAAUCUGCCACUCACAGUCGUCCGUGUUCCUGAAGCGGUCGUCACACCAGGUGUUGUAUUUUUACAUCCAGCGGCUGAUCCGGCGCGAGGAGCUGCUCCUAGACCCGGAGAGGCGUUUUGAGCGCAUCAUACGGCUGUACUACAUGUGUAUGGACCACAGCGUGCUGUACAGUUGUCUGCGGCUGCUGCACACGCAGGCCACGCUGGCGCCCAUCAAGUGGCAGCUGGCCAGCCUGUUGCGUCAACUGCAGACCAACCCGCGGACUCUAAAACAGAUUUGUCGUGUGACCAUCUACGGUGCGCUGAGACGUCGGCCCGGUCCCAACGUCAGUAAACUGCCGCUGCCAGCACAGCUCAAGGAGUACUUGCUGAACUUUGAGCCGUAGUGGCCGACGGUGCCGCAGCGGACGGCUGCUCGCCGGGCGAGCCGCGCCGGGCCGGUGGUGGGCGACCCCCUCCUCCCCGCCCGCCUCCCGGCCGGCCGGAGACCCGGUGACGCGUCUCCGCCCGCGCUCCGAAGGCCUUGACGUGAUCUGUGGCGGCGCAGGACGCCAGUGUGAUCUCCGCGGCGGGACGGUGCGGCCGACCGACCGGCCGACUCCGACCCGACCCGACCCCGUGCUGCGUGCUGAGUGUCAGUUCUUAUCUGAGGUACGUGAGUAGCGUGAAAGUUUGGUGCAAUAGGUGGCCGACAGCUGAGUGAUAUUGAAUGUGAUGCGAGCGAGAGGACUGGGCGCGUGGUAAGUGCUCGAUAUUUGUGUGAUAUUGUCUGAGGACGACCCGCGGCUAUCCCCUCCUGUGUGAUCUAACGCGGGCGGUCCUCUGUGAUGAGUCGGCGGACCUCAGUCUUCGCGUGUCGCUCCCCGACCCGCCACAGUCGGCGCCGCCACAGAACGCACAGAGACGGGGUCUGCGGUUUUGACCUAAUCAGUAUUUAAGACGUUUUGUUAUUUGUGUUUGGCCGCCAGCGGCCGUUCUGAGCUUACACGCAGUGGGGCCUUCGUCCCUCAGUUUAGGGCUGGGCAGAACGUACCGGGGGAGGGGAACGAAGUGGCUGCCAGGUUUGAAGGCCCGCCACACGGUAAGAGCUAUGCGCUUUUUGGUUCUUCGCCUUUUCCCGUCUUUAUUCAUUCACGUAGCUCCUCUUCCAGCUAUCCACCGAUCUUCCGAUUUUAUAUCAUGGAUAAGGCAGCCAUGUGUCUCAAGUAACAUAGACUGUUCAUUAUCGCCUCAGACUGACUGCAUGCUAAGGCUGCUUUCUUUACCGAGUGCGGCUUCCAUUAUUCUAGGGCUAUACUCCAGGCAUAUCUUGAGAAAAAAAGCAGAAAAGUGAGUAUCGCCUGCCGUGUCGCCCGUUCAGUUGCCGUCGCCGCCGCGCUGGAUAACGGAUGUGUUAUGUGCCGACUCGGGGACCGCUGCGUCUCGCUGAUGGUGAAAGUGCGUUCCGUGACGGGUGAAUUGGUGCUCGUGCUAACCAGUUCCUCCCAACCGAUUGUGCAUGGUCCUUCUUGUUGGUAAUCUGCGUUCUUUAUUUUGUCUUUACAAUGAGUCUCGUCUGCCUCAGUGUCCUCGAUAGAUUACUACCGUUGUUCUCGUCUUUGCCUGUUCCUUUACCGAGUCUGACUUUGUUUGGUAUCUAUCUGGGGAUGUAUUGCGAUGCUUGGGACAUGAUAUGACCGAAUAUCAGGUGACCUUCAUGCAGCCGCCACCCGUCAGGGCCCAUCGCGCCACUGCGCUGGGGCGCGGUCGGCUGGCCCGGUUCUUUCAGUUGUGAUCGGGGACGGGACUCGGCCCGACCUCCCCAGCCCGUGAUCGGUAUGUGCGCGUGUGUGUGCGCGGAGGGGCGGUCUGUGCUCGGUUUGGGUGGCCCUCGGCCGCCGGCGCCGUGGAUAGGAGGGUCGAGCGUCGGCUGACCGUGGACCGUCCAUGAGCCGGGAGUCCCCGCGUCAGUGGUCCUCAGCGUGAUGUCAUGACUCGUAUGACUCUGAUGUGCGUCUCGAGUCAGCCGGUGUAGGCCCGCUGGGCCCGUGUGAUUGAUUCAGUCCUAUUGAUUGGUGCUCGCGCGUGUGUGGCGAGCUGCUACGGCGCGUGCCGCGGCUCUCGCCGUCCCGCCCACCGUUGUUAGGUAAUCUCCCGGCCGGCAGCGCCGCCUCAGUCAGAGGAGCCGCCGCGCCGCGUUAUACUGUGUUCGCCUGAGGGUCGCGCGGGGAUGGCACAGGGCAGGGGUGGGUAGGAGGGGAGGCCUCCCUCGACAUGCCAGUGUUCACUGUACAGAUAUGAGUGGUCUACUUGAACGAACUUAUAUUAUGAUUUGUUAAAUAUAUCGAAUGCGACCGUG